UGGGGAAUAUUGCACAAUGGGCGAAAGCCUGAUGCAGCAACGCCGCGUGAGUGAUGAAGGUCUUCGGAUUGUAAAGCUCUGUCUUUUGGGACGAUAAUGACGGUACCAAAGGAGGAAGCCACGGCUAACUACGUGCCAGCAGCCGCGGUAAUACGUAGGUGGCGAGCGUUGUCCGGAUUUACUGGGCGUAAAGGGUGCGUAGGCGGAUGUUUAAGUGAGAUGUGAAAUACCCGGGCUUAACUUGGGUGCUGCAUUUCAAACUGGAUAUCUAGAGUGCAGGAGAGGAGAAUGGAAUUCCUAGUGUAGCGGUGAAAUGCGUAGAGAUUAGGAAGAACACCAGUGGCGAAGGCGAUUCUCUGGACUGUAACUGACGCUGAGGCACGAAAGCGUGGGUAGCAAACAGGAUUAGAUACCCUGGUAGUCCACGCCGUAAACGAUGAGUACUAGGUGUAGGAGGUAUCGACCCCUUCUGUGCCGCAGUAAACACAUUAAGUACCCCGCCUGGGAAGUACGAUCGCAAGAUU
rnacentral:rRNA from 1 species